rnacentral:misc_RNA from 1 species
UAUAAGCAAAACUAGCGCUCAGUCCGCUGUCCAGUACAGUAUGAUGAGUAUCAAAUCAAACUGAAACUGAGUGUCACGAUUAUGUCAGAACGGGAUGAACUAGAUGAGGACGGCGGACCCUCAACUUCCAAACGUAGUAAAUUUGGAAGUGCCGCCAACGCUGACUGUCAAGCUGUGACUGUGAGAACACCUCAACAGUCAACAGAACGAAUCUUGGCAAGUGAACUCGACGAACGAAUCUUCACGUAUGUGUCCAAUUCGAAUUCAUUUAGUUUUGCUAAGUUUGGAUUUCUAAAACUUGGACCACUUUGCAAUGCAUCAGAAAGUCACAGUUUCACCGAAGCAAACUGCCAUGUUAAAACUGUAAGGAAUGAAAACAAUUUGGCUUUAAUUUUGGAGUUCAGUCAACUCUUUAGUCGAGGGGUUAUGCUUUUAAGUGAUGUGAAAAAUAAUAGACGGGAACUGGACCGACAGGAAAUCGCUGCAAUAAAAAUCUUAGACAAUUUUUUUAAGGAAAAAGAUCAACAUGAAAAAUGUCUAAACAAAGGCUUGCGAGGACAUCAAAGCGAAACGGAUAAAAAAGGGUUUUCGGGAACAGAAAUUGCAGUUACAUUAGCAGAGCAUCUUUUGGGAAAGCUAGCUCCUGGUAAAUCAUAUGUUGUUGAUGAAAAGGUGAAAAGAAAAGGGAAAUGCAGACGUGGAUACGAGUUUUGUGAAAGUGAUCCUAUGUUUGGAAGCACUGGAAUUGGUCACGAAGAGGGCUGGCAUGGAUUUGCUGACAUAGUGUUAUCUUCCCAUGAUGGAGUACCUGAUACUAUCAGUACAACUCACAUUAAUGAAAGCCAGGAGUUGGCAACACUCACUUGCUCUGAUGAUGUAAGAUAGUUUUUGGGUUUUUUUUUCAGAUUGCGAUGAUGACAAUGAAUGUAGCUCAUCUGGAGGAAAAACUAUUUCUGACGCCAAACUUUUUCAAUCAAAGACAAGUGCUGAGAAUCGAGCAGUUGCUCAAACAAUUGUAUUUUCCUUUCUACAAAGAAAAAGACUUCCAGAGUUUCCAAAUUUGUUGAUUCCAAAUAUCUUGAUUUCUCCACAAGAAUUUAGAAUCAUUAUGUAUGAUGCUGUCAAUGACAUUUUGAUGUGCAGUGUUCCUCUGCCAAUAUUCCAGUCUUACCCAUCAAACUCUCUGGAAAUUGCAUCCAUUAUUAUUCUUUGGAUGGUUUUGCAUCAUACAAUUUUUUGUGAGGGGACAGAUGCACUUAUCAGAGAGAUGGGCAUUGAAAGGAUAAAAAAAGUUCAAGCCGAUUUCAAAGAAAGGGCAAAAGAAAAAUUUGAGUUGUAUGUUAAUGAACUUAAAUAUGGUGUUCAGGGUUUUCCUUUUGUUCAGAGAGAAUCACUGCCAUCAUUUAAAGCUCUUUUGCUUGGAGUUAAUUUACUUCCAAACAUGAAUUCAUGAUCAUCUCAUUUGCAUUUCCCAGGUUGUUUUAUUCUUCGGGAGUUAGCAGGAAGGUGCUAUGUACAUGUAUAUUGUUCUAAACACUCAAUAAAGUUUUUAAUUUAAUUUUCUUUUCCUCUUACCGGUAAUUUUUAAUUGAUGUGUAACUCCAUUAAUCUGUAUAUCAGAUUUGAUUUUGAUGGACAUUGUUGCCAUUGUUAAUAAUUUUAGAAACUUUUGUGUAACACUUUUCCUUAAAUAGAUUUAAUCU